rnacentral:lncRNA from 1 species
AUUAGGAAUCGUCGAGCUUGUUUUCAAUCUUGAAGGUGUCAUUUUAAGUGAUUGUCACUACUGUCCAAUCUUAUUGAUGGCAUUAAUAAGAAUGAUUAUUGCGAUAUCAUUUUGAAUAAUACUACAAUAAUGAGUGGACAACUGAAAAUGACGUAAACUCAGCACCAUAGCCUGUUAGUGUAAAGUAUAUAUCUAACUAGCAUCCUAAAUUAGAUAUUGUUACUGAAGCCUACCUUUGGCAUAGUUGACUUAGUCACCUUUUAUUGGAAAGGGUAAAUGGGCCAGUGAUAUUUUGAGUUUGAUACAUAUUGAUGUAUUUACACUCAUGAACACAAUACCAGCAGAGGGCUUACUUCUUCAUUAAAAUCUCUGACGACCUAUCUUGGUAUGGGUGCAUCUUGCUUAUGAAGUACAAGUUUGAAUCGGUUGAAAUGUUUAAAUGAUUCUAUAACGAGAUAGAAAAAUAAACUAUAAAGAGUAUUAGAACUCAUCGAUUAGACCAAUAAAAUAAAUACCUUUACAGUAAAUUUUUUAACAUAUCUUGAAGAGAAUUGGAUUCUCUCACAAUGAACC